AUUGAACGCUGGCGGCAUGCCUUACACAUGCAAGUCGAACGGCAGCACGGAGCUUGCUCUGGUGGCGAGUGGCGAACGGGUGAGUAAUAUAUCGGAACGUACCCUAGAGUGGGGGAUAACGUAGCGAAAGUUACGCUAAUACCGCAUACGAUCUAAGGAUGAAAGUGGGGAUCGCAAGACCUCAUGCUCGUGGAGCGGCCGAUAUCUGAUUAGCUAGUUGGUAGGGUAAAAGCCUACCAAGGCAUCGAUCAGUAGCUGGUCUGAGAGGACGACCAGCCACACUGGAACUGAGACACGGUCCAGACUCCUACGGGAGGCAGCAGUGGGGAAUUUUGGACAAUGGGCGAAAGCCUGAUCCAGCAAUGCCGCGUGAGUGAAGAAGGCCUUCGGGUUGUAAAGCUCUUUUGUCAGGGAAGAAACGGUGAGAGCUAAUAUCUCUUGCUAAUGACGGUACCUGAAGAAUAAGCACCGGCUAACUACGUGCCAGCAGCCGCGGUAAUACGUAGGGUGCAAGCGUUAAUCGGAAUUACUGGGCGUAAAGCGUGCGCAGGCGGUUUUGUAAGUCUGAUGUGAAAUCCCCGGGCUCAACCUGGGAAUUGCAUUGGAGACUGCAAGGCUAGAAUCUGGCAGAGGGGGGUAGAAUUCCACGUGUAGCAGUGAAAUGCGUAGAUAUGUGGAGGAACACCGAUGGCGAAGGCAGCCCCCUGGGUCAAGAUUGACGCUCAUGCACGGAAGCGUGGGGAGCAAACAGGAUUAGAUACCCUGGUAGUCCACGCCCUAAACGAUGUCUACUAGUUGUCGGGUCUUAAUUGACUUGGUAACGCAGCUAACGCGUGAAGUAGACCGCCUGGGGAGUACGGUCGCAAGAUUAAAACUCAAAGGAAUUGACGGGGACCCGCACAAGCGGUGGAUGAUGUGGAUUAAUUCGAUGCAACGCGAAAAACCUUACCUACCCUUGACAUGGCUGGAAUCCCCGAGAGAUUGGGGAGUGCUCGAAAGAGAACCAGUACACAGGUGCUGCAUGGCUGUCGUCAGCUCGUGUCGUGAGGUGUUGGGUUAAGUCCCGCAACGAGCGCAACCCUUGUCAUUAGUUGCUACGAAAGGGCACUCUAAUGAGACUGCCGGUGACAAACCGGAGGAAGGUGGGGAUGACGUCAAGUCCUCAUGGCCCUUAUGGGUAGGGCUUCACACGUCAUACAAUGGUACAUACAGAGCGCCGCCAACCCGCGAGGGGGAGCUAAUCGCAGAAAGUGUAUCGUAGUCCGGAUUGUAGUCUGCAACUCGACUGCAUGAAGUUGGAAUCGCUAGUAAUCGCGGAUCAGCAUGUCGCGGUGAAUACGUUCCCGGGUCU
rnacentral:rRNA from 1 species